UGUCUUCCUUCUCACUGUCCUUCAUCAAGUACAGUCACUGUACGGCCUGCCUGGAGCAUACAUCUAAUUUCCUAUUUGGAGAUGAACACCGUUUUCAUCAAUUACCCCAUUAGUUGCUCAUCCCCCAACUCGUGACUUUUCUCUUACAGAUGAGAACACCUCUGACACUACAAGGAGCAGAACCUCCCAGAAACCCAGGCCGUGGUCCUGGGGUCCCAGUUCCUACUCUGAUCUCUGGUGUCUGCUGCCUGGUACUAUGGGGUUCUCUGCCUCAACUCAUUUUAGCUUCUGACGGCACGAGGAGAAUAAAAGCAGCAAAGCUGAAAAGACAAGCAGAAAGUGGCAGUUAUGAGCCUGAGAAGAUUUCAACAAAGAUGAGCAAAGAUUUCAACAGUCUCACAGCACUGGGAAGACAAGGCUUUGGGUUCAGGGCCUGUCUGUGAGGAGGGACCCUGGAAAGAUCUCCAGGCUGUCAGGUGGAACCCAAGAGAUCCGGAAUUUCGCCACUGCUUCAACCCCGGUCCGAGGCACCCUUGGAAUGCUGCAAUAUCUUCCUAAGAGAUCUCCCCUUCUGACCUUACUUCCUGAAGUCUGUCCUCAACACAGCAGCCAGAGUGAUCUUUUGAGAACCUGAGUCAGGUCAUGCUGUUGCUCUGCCCAAAACCGUCCACCGGCUCCUCCCUCCACAGAGGAAACCUCCAACGUCUUACCGUGCUCAGGAAGCCCUUGUAGGAUCUGCCAGCCCUCACCUACCUUUCUUUCCCUCUUGCUCACUCUACUC
rnacentral:lncRNA from 1 species